CCGGAUUCCUGACCACCAGCAUGCCCCGCUGGUUCAUGCUCCUUGUUCCUUGUCUUCGGAUUAUACUUGCUUCAUGGAUUCUACCCGCAUUCUGGAUUCUACCCGCAGUACGGAUUACACACGCGUUAUGAUAUUCAGUGUCCUACCCCACAAAAGAGAAAACGGAGGGAGCUACAAAUCACCCAAACAUUGGUUGGUAAAUUUGCCAAAGAUCUAAAGAAAUGCUGUGAAGAUGGAAUUAGGCAGACCAGGCUGGAUUACAC